UUCAAGCCAGCAAACCAGUUCUAGUGCAGCGUCUGUAACUAUUAAUCAAGCAUCUCAAGAAGAUCGCCCAACUGUUGCUCCAACAAUUGAUUUUAUUUCAGAAGGCCCAAGCACUCAAUCAUCUGCCAGUUCAUCUUAUGAAGAUACCACCGUUGGAUCAUCAGACGUUGUAGAUCAAACAUCCAUUCAAAAUACAACACCUAGUUCUUCAGCCGAAUCUGGUUCAAUCCGAAAUUCAGAUUCAGAUUCACAGUCUUAUAACCCAGUUACUCAGCAAUCAGGUGAAGUAUCAAUAGAUGUGACCGUUGGAUCAGUCGACUCAGUUUCAACUGAAACUAGUAACCAAGCUACCCAAACAUCACAAUCGUCCAGCAAUGUAUCAGUUUCAGUUUCAACUACAUCUGAAGGUAAUGAACCUACAACUCAGGCAACUUCUAGUACCUCUGAUGGUAAGCCAGUUGUUGUAAUAAUAGCUUCAAAUGAUAAUGACUCUGUUUCUUCUGGU
rnacentral:lncRNA from 1 species